rnacentral:misc_RNA from 1 species
CAGAGUUGCAAGACUCCCUAAACCAUUGUGAACCUACCUUCUACCGUUGCUUUCGGCGGGGCGGGCCCAGCGCCCCCCCGGCCCCCCCGCGGGCGCCCGCCGGAGGAUACCCAAAACUCUUGACAUUAGUGCCUCUCUGAGUAUUCUUUACUGAAUAAGUCA